rnacentral:rRNA from 1 species
GACGAACGCUGGCGGCGUGCUUAACACAUGCAAGUCGAACGGUGAAAGAAGAGCUUGCUCUUCUGGAUCAGUGGCGAACGGGUGAGUAACACGUGAGUAACCUGCCCCAGACUCUGGAAUAAGCGCUGGAAACGGCGUCUAAUACCGGAUACGAGACAGCGCUGCAUGGCUACUGUCUGGAAAGUUUUUCGGUCUGGGAUGGACUCGCGGCCUAUCAGCUUGUUGGUGAGGUAACGGCUCACCAAGGCAACGACGGGUAGCCGGCCUGAGAGGGCGACCGGCCACACUGGGACUGAGACACGGCCCAGACUCCUACGGGAGGCAGCAGUGGGGAAUAUUGCACAAUGGGCGAAAGCCUGAUGCAGCGACGCCGCGUGAGGGAUGACGGCCUUCGGGUUGUAAACCUCUUUCAGCAGGGAAGAAGCGAAAGUGACGGUACCUGCAGAAGAAGCACCGGCUAACUACGUG